rnacentral:rRNA from 1 species
GAUGAACGCUAGCUACAGGCUUAACACAUGCAAGUCGAGGGACCGGCGAACGGGUGAGUAACACGUAUCCAACCUGUCCUUUACUCGGGGACAGCCUUUCGAAAGAAAGUUUAAUAUCCGCUCUAAAGGCUGGGUAUGCGUCCCAUUAGGUUGUUGGUGAGGUAACGUUCCACCAAGCCUUCGAUGGAUAGGGGUUCUGAUAGGAAGGUCCCCCACGUUGGAACUGAGGCACGGUCCAAAAUCGUACGGGAGGCAGCAGUGAGGAAUAUUGGUCAAUGGGCGGUAGCCUGAACCAGCCAAGUAGCGUGAAGGAUGAAGGCUUAUGGGUCGUAAACUUCUUUUAUAUAAGAAUAGGUAUUAUAUGAAUAAGGAUCGGCUAACUCCGUGCCAGCAGCCGCGGUAAUAC